rnacentral:rRNA from 1 species
GACGUAGGGUCCGAGCGUUGUCCGGAAUCACUGGGCGUAAAGGGCGCGUAGGCGGCGCGGAAAGUCGUCGGUGAAAGCUCGGGGCUCAACCCUGAGUCUGCCGGUGAUACUCCCGCGCUCGAGCUCACUAGAGGCAGAUGGAAUUCCGGGUGUAGCGGUGGAAUGCGUAGAGAUCCGGAAGAACACCGGUGGCGAAGGCGGUCUGCUGGGGUGAGGCUGACGCUGAUGCGCGACAGCGUGGGGAGCAAACAGG